rnacentral:rRNA from 1 species
UGAGGAAUAUUGGUCAAUGGGCGCAAGCCUGAACCAGCCAUGCCGCGUGCAGGAUGAAGCAUCUAUGGUGUGUAAACUGCUUUUGUACGGGAAGAAACCACCCCUCGUGAGGGGUAUUGACGGUACCGUAAGAAUAAGGAUCGGCUAACUCCGUGCCAGCAGCCGCGGUAAUACGGAGGAUCCAAGCGUUAUCCGGAAUCAUUGGGUUUAAAGGGUCCGUAGGCGGGCUCGUAAGUCAGUGGUGAAAUCUCAUAGCUUAACUAUGAAACUGCCAUUGAUACUGCGAGCCUUGAGUAAGGUAGAGGUAGCUGGAAUAAGUAGUGUAGCGGUGAAAUGCUUAGAUAUUACAUGGAAUACCAAUUGCGAAGGCAGGUUACUACUAAUGGAUUGACGCUGAUGGACGAAAGCGUGGGGAGCGAACA